UUAGGAUGAUUCAAUGUUAGAUACGACCAUCUUUCCCUGAUCUUUUAUGUAAUUAUAAGUUCAGCAAUAAUAAUAAUAAAAAAGAGGGACAGGUGCACUAACAUCUCAUAGCAUCACUAACUCAACAAUCUAGUAUG